rnacentral:rRNA from 1 species
GAUGAACGCUAGCGGCAGGCUUAAUACAUGCAAGUCGAGGGGCAGCACGGCAGCAAUGCUGGUGGCGACCGGCGCACGGGUGCGUAACGCGUAUGCAACCUACCUUUGACAGUGGGAUAGCCCCGAGAAAUCGGGAUUAAUACCGCAUAACAAUGCGAUUUGGCAUCAGAUUGCAUUUAAAACUCCGGUGGUCAAAGAUGGGCAUGCGUGACAUUAGCUGGUUGGUAAGGUAACGGCUUACCAAGGCGACGAUGUCUAGGGGUUCUGAGAGGAUUAACCCCCACACUGGUACUGAGACACGGACCAGACUCCUACGGGAGGCAGCAGUAAGGAAUAUUGGGCAAUGGACGCAAGUCUGACCCAGCCAUGCCGCGUGAAGGAUGAAGGGGCU